UGGCGGACGGGUGAGUAACGCGUGGGUAACCUGCCUCAUACAGGGGGAUAACAGUUAGAAAUGACUGCUAAUACCGCAUAAGACCACAGCACCGCAUGGUGCAGGGGUAAAAACUCCGGUGGUAUGAGAUGGACCCGCGUCUGAUUAGGUAGUUGGUGGGGUAACGGCCUACCAAGCCGACGAUCAGUAGCCGACCUGAGAGGGUGACCGGCCACAUUGGGACUGAGACACGGCCCAA
rnacentral:rRNA from 1 species